UACGUAGGGUGCGAGCGUUGUCCGGAAUUACUGGGCGUAAAGCGCGUGUAGGCGGUUGUCCAAGUUGGAUGUGAAAGCCUUGAGCUUAACUCAAGAAAUGCAUUCAGGACUGGAUGACUAGAGGACCGGAGAGGAUAGUGGAAAUUCCCAGUGUAGUGGUGAAAUACGUAGAGAUUGGGAAGAACACCAGUGGCGAAGGGCGGCUAUCUGGACGGUUUCUGACGCUAAGA
rnacentral:rRNA from 1 species